rnacentral:rRNA from 1 species
CCUACGGGAGGCAGCAGUGGGGAAUAUUGGGCAAUGGAGGAAACUCUGACCCAGCGACGCCGCGUGAGGGAUGAAGGCCUUCGGGUUGUAAACCUCUUUCAGUAGGGAGGAAGCGAAAGUGACGGUACCUACAGAAGAAGCACCGGCUAACUAUGUGCCAGCAGCCGCGGUGAUACAUAGGGUGCAAGCGUUGUCCGGAAUUAUUGGGCGUAAAGAGCUCGUAGGUGGUUCGAUACGUCGGAUGUGAAAAUCAGGGGCUCAACCCCUGACCUGCAUCCGAUACGGUCGAGCUAGAGUUUGGUAGGGGAGACUGGAAUUCCUGGUGUAGCGGUGGAAUGCGCAGAUAUCAGGAGGAACACCGAUGGCGAAGGCAGGUCUCUGGGCCAAUACUGACACUGAGGAGCGAAAGCGUGGGGAGCGAACAGGAUUAGAUACCCUGGUAGUCCACGCCGUAAACGGUGGGCGCUAGUUGUGCGAACCUUCCACGGUUUGUGCGACGCAGCUAACGCAUUAAGCGCCCCGCUGGGGANCGAUCGCAAGAUUAAAACNCAAAUGAAUUGACGG